GCCUACGGGGGGCAGCAGUCGAGAAUCAUUCACAAUGGGGGAAACCCUGAUGGUGCGACGCCGCGUGGGGGAAUGAAGGUCUUCGGAUUGUAAACCCCUGUCAUGUGGGAGCAAAUUAAAAAGAUAGUACCACAAGAGGAAGAGACGGCUAACUCUGUGCCAGCAGCCGCGGUAAUACAGAGGUCUCAAGCGUUGUUCGGAAUCACUGGGCGUAAAGCGUGCGUAGGCUGUUUCGUAAGUCGUGUGUGAAAGGCGCGGGCUCAACCCGCGGACGGCACAUGAUACUGUGAGACUAGAGUAAUGGG
rnacentral:rRNA from 1 species